AGUGAACGCUGGCGGUAGGCCUAACACAUGCAAGUCGAACGGCAGCACAGUAAGAGCUUGCUCUUACGGGUGGCGAGUGGCGGACGGGUGAGGAAUACAUCGGAAUCUACUUUUUCGUGGGGGAUAACGUAGGGAAACUUACGCUAAUACCGCAUACGACCUACGGGUGAAAGCAGGGGAUCUUCGGACCUUGCGCGAUUGAAUGAGCCGAUGUCGGAUUAGCUAGUUGGCGGGGUAAAGGCCCACCAAGGCGACGAUCCGUAGCUGGUCUGAGAGGAUGAUCAGCCACACUGGAACUGAGACACGGUCCAGACUCCUACGGGAGGCAGCAGUGGGGAAUAUUGGGCAAUGGGCGCAAGCCUGAUCCAGCCAUACCGCGUGGGUGAAGAAGGCCUUCGGGUUGUAAAGCCCUUUUGUUGGGAGAGAAAAGCAGCAGGUUAAUACCCCGCUGUUCUGACGGUACCCAAAGAAUAAGCACCGGCUAACUUCGUG
rnacentral:rRNA from 1 species